rnacentral:rRNA from 1 species
AUGAUGACUUCAAGAUCAAGAUCUGAUGCAUUUAUUCAGUCCCAUGUGUCUGACCAUGAAAGAAGAUUGAAUGACCUGAAUUAUAGAGUGAGAGAAGUUAAUCUACCUCAAAUGGAAUGCAUUAAUGCUAUCAAACAAAUUAAAGUAGAAGCAUCAAACAUGGAUCUAUUAGAACACUUCACUAUGAAUUCCAGAGCUGAAGAAGAUUUUAACUUAAGGAGCCAUGAGGGAAGUGGUGAGGAAACUGAAUCAGAAGAUGGAGAAGAUGACACUGAACAUGGUGAUGAAACUGAAUCGAAAGAUGAAGAAGGUGAGUCUGGACAAGAAGAUGAACAUGACCAAGAAGAGGAAGUUCGACAAGUACAGGAGAAAACACAUGAAGUUGUAGAGAAGAUAAGAAGAGGACCUACUCACAUGAGGCGCUUUUGGAAGGAACACGAUGUUGAUAACAAGAUCAAUUUGAAGUUCAACAGAUUUGGUCAGCCAUGUGGUUUGAAGACAUGCAAGCUAACAAAUUUUAUUGGAACCCUAGUGAAACGAAAAGAAAUGUCCUUAGCUGCUCAAAACUGGAGCAAAGUACCAAAGUUAGAGAAAGAAAAGUUGUGGGGUUCUGUCCAGGCUUUUUUCAUCAUUGAUGAGUCAUACAAAAGAUGGGUGUUGAGAUCAGCUAGUAAAAAAUGGAAAGACUUCAAGGUUGUUUUAAAGAGGAGAUACUACAAAGCUGAUUUGUCACAUGCAUGGAAUAUUCUUAAUGGUUGUGAUAAUAGAGUACCAAUUGGACAGUGGGAGUGGCUAGUAAAACACUGGAGAACAGAGAAAGCUAAGGAAAAAUCUGAGAGAAACAAAGCCACUCGAGCAUCGCAACUCAAGGGAUGCAACGGGACCCACACCACUGGGUCAUGA